rnacentral:rRNA from 1 species
UAAAAGUCGUAACAAGGUUUCCGUAGGUGAACCUGCGGAAGGAUCAUUAGUGAAUCUAGGACGUCCAACUUAACUUGGAGUCCGAACUCUCACUUUCUAACCCUGUGCAUCUGUUUUAAAAUUGGCUAGUAGCUCUUCGGAGUGAACCACCAUUUUUCACUUAUACAAACACAAAGUCUAUGAAUGUAAGCAAAUUUAUAACAAAACAAAACUUUCAACAACGGAUCUCUUGGCUCUCGCAUCGAUGAAGAACGCAGCGAAAUGCGAUACGUAAUGUGAAUUGCAGAAUUCAGUGAAUCAUCGAAUCUUUGAACGCACCUUGCGCUCCUUGGUAUUCCGAGGAGCAUGCCUGUUUGAGUGUCAUGAAAUCUUCAACCCACCUCUUUCUUAGUGAAUCUGGUGGUGCUUGGUUUCUGAGCGCUGCUCUGCUUCGGCUUAGCUCGUUCGUAAUGCACUAGCAUCCGCAACCGAAACUUCGGAUUGACUUGGCGUAAUAGACUAUUCGCUGAGGAUUCCAGACUUGUUCUGGAGCCGAGUUGGGUUAAAGGAAGCUUCUAAUCCUAAAGUCUAUUUUUUGAUUAGAUCUCAAAUCAGGUAGGACUACCCGCUGAACUUAAGCAUAUCAA